rnacentral:rRNA from 1 species
CGGCGAGGAAGCCGCCUGGUGGAUGGCUCGGCUCGGGCGCCGAGGAAGGCCGUGGCAAGCUGCGAUAAGCCCGGGGUAGGCGCAGGCAGCCGUCGAACCCGGGAUCGCCUAAUGGGACCUCCUGCCACGGGCUUUAAGCCCGUGGCGCCCGGGAAACCGUCGAGGGAGUACCGGGCGGGAACCCCCCGAACGGAAACAUCUUAGUAGGGGGAGGAAGAGAAAUCAAACUGAGAUCCCCUGAGUAGGGGCGACCGAAAGGGGGAGAGCCCAAACCAAACCCCCACGGGACGACCGUGGGGGGAUGUGGGGUUACCGGCUCCACGGCUAGGGGUUCGACCCCGAGCGGGCCUACCCACGGUAGCCGAAGUGGCCUGGAAUGGCCCGCCGUAGAGGGUGACAGCCCCGUAGGCGAAACCGUGGGGGCUCGCGCCGUGGAGCAGAGUACCACGGCUUGGUUGUGCCGUGGGAAGUAGGGGGUCACCGACCUCCAAGGCUAAACACGUCCCGAGACCGAUAGCGAACUUAGUACCGUGAGGGAAAGCUGAAAAGCACCCCGCAAGGGGGGUGAAAAGAGCCUGAAACCAGGCGGCUACAUACGGCGCUGCCCUAAAGAGGUGACGCCCCCGAAGGAAACCGGGGCGACCCGGGAGUACGAGGGGGGUUGAUCAGGGUGGCGCCGUCCGUCUUGAAACACGGGCCGGGGAGUCCACGGCAGUGGCGAGCUUAAGGGGUUAAACCCCGUAGGCGUAGGGAAACCGACAUGCCCGCAACCACGGUUAAGCCGUGGCGAGGGGCGGGGUCCCAAAGGGCCCGGAGUCACUGCCGUGGGACCAGAAACCGGGCGAUCUAGGCGGGGGCAGGGUGAAGCCGGGGGAAACCCCGGUGGAGGCCCGAAAGGGUUCUGACGUGCAAUUCGUUCCCAUGACCCCCGUCUAGGGGCAAAAGACCAAUCAAGCCCGGUGAUAGCUGGUUCCCGCCGAAGUGGGUCUCAGCCCAGCCCCGCCUGAGGUGGGCCACGGGGUAGAGCUACGGAUUGGGGGUGCAGGAGCCGAAAGGCUCCGGCCUCCAGUCCAACUCCGAACCCGUGGUCACCGUAGAAGGCGGGAGUGGGGUUCCCCGCCGUAAGGGUGGGGGCCGAGAGGGGAACAACCCAGACCGGGGUUAAGGCCCCUAAGUGCCGGCUAAGUGCCAAUCUUAAAGGGCGUCCCACGGCUCAGACAGCGGGGAGGUGGGCCUAACAGCAGCCAUCCUCUAAGGAGUGCGUAACAGCUCACCCGCCGAGCCGUGGGGCCCCGAAGAUUGGUCGGGGCUUAAGCCGGCCGCCGAGACCCCGGGGCACGGCCCCUAUGGGGCCGUGAUCUGGUAGGCGGGCGUCGGGUCGGGGCAGAAGCCGGGCCGUGAGGUCCGGUGGACCCGAUCCGAGUGCAGAUCCCGGCGGCAGUAACAGCGAAGAGGGGUGGGAAUCCCCUCCGCCGGAAAGGACCAGGGUUCCUCGGCAACGGUCGUCGGCCGAGGGUUAGCCGGUCCUAACCCGGGCCGUAACUCGGACCCGGGGAAAGGGAAACGGGUUAACACUCCCGUGCCGCGGGGGUAGGCGCGGCAACGCAAGCCCAGCCUCCGACGCCUCCGGAUAGGCGGACUGGGGGCGGUCGAAUGACCGCGACCCAGCUAACCGGUGAAGGCCCCGGAGUACCGUAAUGGUGAGAAGGGGCUGAAGCCGGGAAUGGGGCCCCGUUAGGGGCCUUCCGCCGACUCCGGGGGCCCUUGAAAAGGGGGCUGGGAACGAUCCCCCGCGCCCGUACCGAGAACCGACACAGGUGCUCCUGGGUGAGUAGCCCCAGGCGUGUGGGGGUUAACCCGGGCCAGGGAACUCGGCAAAUUGGCCCCGUAACUUCGGGAGAAGGGGUGCCUGCGGUUCUGGGGCGCACCCCUGGAACCGCAGGUCGCAGUGCCUAGGGGGGCCUGACUGUUUAAUAAAAACAUAGGUCCCCGCUAGCCCGAAAGGGUUUGUACGGGGGCUGAAUCCUGGCCACUGGCGGUCCGUGAAACCGGGGUACAACCCGGCGAAGCGCCGCUGAAGGCCGGGAGUAACUCUGACUCUCUUAAGGUAGCCAAAUGCCUUGCCGGGUAAGUUCCGGCGCGCAUGAAUGGAUCAACGAGGUCCCCACUGUCCUGGCCCGGGGCCCCGUGAAGACACGGAGCCGGUGCACAGGCCGGCAACCCCCCGCAGGGCGAUAAGUCCCUGUGGAGCUUUACCGCAGCCUGGCGCUGACCUCUGGGCUGUGGUGCGUAGCGUAGGUGGGAGCUUGUGAAGCCACACCUCCGGGUGUGGCGGAGGCGCCAAUGAAACACCACCCACUACAGCCUGGGGGCCUCACCCCGGGGGAGACCCUGGGGGACAACGCCAGGUGGGCGGUUCGGCUGGGGCGGCACGCCCGCGAAAAGAUAACACGGGCGCCCAAAGGUCGGCUCAGGCGGGUCAGAGCUCCGCCGUAGAGUGCAAGGGCAAAAGCCGGCCUGACCGGACCCUUGAACACAAGGGGUCCGGCCGGGAAACCGUGGCCUAGCGAACGCUCGUGUCCCCCUCGGUGGGGGCCGGGCAUGACAGAAAAGUUACCCCAGGGAUAACAGGGUCGUCGCGGGCGAGAGCUCCCAUCGACCCCGCGGUUUGCUACAUCGAUGUCGGCUCUUCCCAUCCUGGGGGUGCAGCAGCCCCCAAGGGUGGGGCUGCCCGCCCAUUAAAGGGGAACGUGAGCUGGGUUUAGACCGUCGUGAGACAGGUCGGACUCUACCCGCGGGGGGCGCGGGCCGCCUGAGGGGAAGGUGCCCUCAGUACGAGAGGAACGGGGCGCCGCGGCCUCUAGUCUACCGGUUGUCCUGGCGGGCAACGCCGGGCAGCCACGCCGUGUGGGGUAACCGCUGAAAGCAUCUAAGCGGGAACCCCUCCCCGAGACGAGGCGGCCGUCCGUCACGGGGCCACCCGUGGCGGGUAGGGCUCCCGUAGAAGACGGGGUUGAUGGGGCGGGGGUGUGAGCCCCAAGGGUUCCCCCGAGGGGUUCAGCCCGCCGCUCCCAAA